CAGUCGCCACGGUAAUACGGAGGGUGCAAGCGUUAAUCGGAAUUACUGGGCGUAAAGCGCACGCAGGCGGUUUGUUAAGUCAGAUGUGAAAUCCCCGAGCUUAACUUGGGAACUGCAUUUGAAACUGGCAAGCUAGAGUCUUGUAGAGGGGGGUAGAAUUCCAGGUGUAGCGGUGAAAUGCGUAGAGAUCUGGAGGAAUACCGGUGGCGAAGGCGGCCCCCUGGACAAAGACUGACGCUCAGGUGCGAAAGCGUGGGGAGCAAACAGGAUUAGAGACCCGUGUAGUCCCUGUCUCUUAUAC
rnacentral:rRNA from 1 species